CUGGCCGGACGUGGCUGUCAGGUCGACGAACUUCUGUCGCAUCACGGGGACCGCUUCCAUCGCUCGGAUCUGCUGAAUCAACUCCAUCUUACGUCGCAUGUCAGCUUCGGCCUGCAUGACGAAAACAACAAACACAACUUGUGACCAAUUCUCUUUCAAACUGGUUGCAUUAUAAUCACAUGAAAAUAACAACAGGAAAGCUAAUGACGUCAUUAGCAAUUGGAACAGGCGAAGUUGACGAUUCAAGGGUCUACAGUUAGAUUGUAGCCAGGGCAGCAUGGUGCUGAUUAAGGCAAGAUGGUACUAGACUAUUGAGGCAUGGUGCCGCACCAUGCUAAAACAAGCUAGGGAAAACACUAGAGAAGUAGACAGAGAUGGAUGAAAAUGAGACAAUUCAGCGACAGUGUGGAUAUCAGUGAA